rnacentral:rRNA from 1 species
GGGCGAAAGCCUGACGGAGCAAUACCGCGUGAGGGAUGAAAGCCUGUGGGUUGUAAACCUCUUUUCUCAAGGAAGAAGUUCUGACGGUACUUGAGGAAUAAGCAUCGGCUAACUCUGUGCCAGCAGCCGCGGUAAUACAGAGGAUGCAAGCGUUAUCCGGAAUCACUGGGCAUAAAGCGUCUGUAGGUUGCCUACCAAGUCUGCUGUUAAAGAUCAGGGCCUAACCCUGGGAAAGCAGUGGAAACUAGUAGGCUUGAGUGUGGUAGAGGUAGAGGGAAUUCCUGGUGUAGCGGUGAAAUGCGUAGAUAUUAGGAAGAACACCAAUGGCGAAAGCACUCUACUGGGCCAUAACUGACACUGAGAGACGACAGCUAAGGGGAGCAAAUGGGAUUAGAUACCCCNGUAGUCCUAGCCGUAAACGAUGGAUACUAGGUGUUGCUACGUAUUAACCCGUGCGAGUAUCG